GUGCCGCGCAUGCAGAGCACGAUUGAGGGAGAGGUGGAAGGAUGCAUGCAAAAAGGGCAGAAAAGACUCCAGACCUUUGCAAAUGUAUUUCCUCUACUUUAAAGACUUUGCCUUAUUCCCCUUUGGCCUUAUAUGCAACAUGAGUCAUUCGUGAGUGACUCCUACUCAUCCCUUAGGUGCUACUUCAAGUUACUAUCUCCAGUGUGGACUUUACACUACGUAAAGGAAGGAAUUGGCAUCUAUGUUGUUUUCUAAUCCUAAGUGCCUAGCACAUAGUAGGUACUCAAUAAACAUUCAUUGAAUGACUCAGGAAAAGACAGCCCUUUUUUUCAUCUGUUAUAAAAAGUUAUAAACAACGAGAUCUUAUCACCUAUAAUAAAUUAUUAAGAAGGCCUUAUUGUGUUGUGUUUUAUACUUCCCUACUGCAUCAAGUAUUUGACUUUUGAUUAACUUACUGUUACAUUGAAUUUUUCUAUUUUGUCUGUCUUUCCUUAGUAUAGCGGAAGCAGCUUGAAUUCAGGGACUAUGUUCUCUAUCUUAUUUAGCUUUGAAAGCCCAAGUCUAGCACAAUCCCUGUCUUUAGGAGUGCUCAAUAAAAAACUGUUGAAAUAUUAUUAUUUAUUUCCUUGUUAAUGUUCAUCUGCUAAACCUUCUUUGCAUCUCCUAUUUUUUGUGUUCUGUUUCUAGAAAUAAAUACCUUGUCUUUCAUAGCUUAAAAAAUUUUUGUUCCUCCUCUCCCUUCUGUUGCCUUUUUAUCCUUCCAUUCAGCAGCUUCACUACUGUUUCGUAGCCUUGCCAUUCACUCACUAUUUUCAUGUAAAACCUGUUGCACUUACGUUGCUUCCUCUCUCUUUCUACUGUAAAUGACCCCAGUCAGGAGCCUGUCAUUUCAUGCCUCAAAAUUAUAAUAGUUUCCUAACUUCUUCCUUUCUUGCCUGUUGUAAUCUGAUCAAUAACGCAGAUAGAUUAAUUACUUAAUCCCUUUUCUUCAACAGCCCGUUAUAUCAGAGUUCAGACUCAUCCUGACAUUUACAGACAUAAACAAGUGUGGUCCUUGAGCUACUGCCACUGUUCUUUUUUUAAGCUCCAUCAAGCCAAAUCAAGCUAAACAUUGCCCUAGGAGAAAUGCUAAUCAAGUUCCUUUUGUUUAUGCUCUUUUCUCUGCCUUAAAAGGGCACUUCUGCUCUUUAAUUAUUGAUACUUAUUAUGUAAGGCCCAGCUUACAUUUUCUUCCAGCAAGCUUUCCCAGGUCAAGACAACCUGAAAAAAAAGUUUCUUUACUUAAAGUCCUUUAACACUACUGUUUAUACUUUUUACAAAAAAUGAGAGCAUACAUGUCGACAUAUGAGAGUGUGUGUGUGUAUGUGUAUGCAAACACAUGAAUCCAUUUGUGGGUGUAUUGUCUCAAUUAGGUUUAAGUUGAAAGCAGGGAUAAUUUAUCCUACAUUAAAUCAGUGUGAGAUGAUAGAAAGAGACUGGGCUUUGAGUCAAAUUAACUGGACGUCAGAGCUAAGGUUUACCAUUGAUUUACAGUGUGACCUCAGACAAAUUACUUUACCUCUCUGAUCAUCAAUUGCUCAUGUGUUAAAGAGCGCUCAUAUGCCUUUUCCCGAAGGUAUUUGUGAGAUGUAAAGAAAAUGAUUCAUUUGAAGGCCUUUAAGGUACCCAGCACAUAGUAGGCACUCGAUUAAAUGUUAAGUUUGAUAGUUUGUGCCUCCCUUGACCCAUUAAUAGUUCCUCAGUAAAAGUUAUGUUGUUCAAGGUAGGACCUUCUAGUAGUUUAAUUUUCAAAGGUUUUAAAAAUAUGAGCUAUUUUAUUUAAAUUAAUGUGAAACUAUGUAAUUCAAAACUUUCAUUUACUAUCCCUAGGUUUUAUAAUGUCUGAUGGGACAGGUUGAUUUAUUCCUUUGAUUCUGAUUUACUCCUUUGAUACUUCUUUGAUUUUUGAGCCAGAGUUGUAAGAGUUGAAGGAGAAAGGAAGGAUACAUAAAAUGGGGGUAUUUGGAAAAGAAUUCUUUCACUGCUGCUAAGUUUCAAGCUAUUAGCUUUCCUUAUUUUAAUUAGUCUUUAUGUUUCCUGAAUGUUAAUGUUAAUAAGAAUAAAAUAUAGAUAUUAUAAAGAUCUAUUGCCUUAUUAUGAUCUCUUAAAGCCAAGAUGCAUAGUUUAAGAUUAUUGUUUUAGGAAAGGGAUCCUCUGUUCUUUGCCUUUAGAAAUCAGUAACAGCUUGGAAAUUAAAGUGAAAUAUCAUGUAAGAAUUUAAAUGUAUUAGUCCUGUCAGUAAACCAAAUAUUUGUUUUAUAUC